GAUCCUGGCUCAGGAUGAACGCUAGCUACAGGCUUAACACAUGCAAGUCGAGGGGCAGCAUGGUCUUAGCUUGCUAAGGCCGAUGGCGACCGGCGCACGGGUGAGUAACGCGUAUCCAACCUGCCUUACACUCUUGGACAGCCUUCUGAAAGGGAGAUUAAUACAAGAUGUUAUCAUGAGUAAGCAUUUUCGCAUGAUACGUAACGGUUCGGUAG
rnacentral:rRNA from 1 species